CUACGGGUGGCAGCAGUAGGGAAUCUUCGGCAAUGGACGGAAGUCUGACCGAGCAACGCCGCGUGAGUGAAGAAGGUUUUCGGAUCGUAAGGCUCUGUUGUAAGAGAAGAACGAGUGUGAGAGUGGAAAGUUCACACUGUGACGGUAUCUUACCAGAAAGGGACGGCUAACUACGUGCCAGCAGCCGCGGUAAUACGUAGGUCCCGAGCGUUGUCCGGAUUUAUUGGGCGUAAAGCGAGCGCAGGCGGUUAGAUAAGUCUGAAGUUAAAGGCUGGGGCUUAACCAUAGUACGCUUUGGAAACUGUUUAACUUGAGUGCAGAAGGGGAGAGUGGAAUUCCAUGUGUAGCGGUGAAAUGCGUAGAUAUAUGGAGGAACACCGGUGGCGAAAGCGGCUCUCUGGUCUGUAACUGACGCUGAGGCUCGAAAGCGUGGGGAGCAAACAGGAUUAGAUACCCCGGUAGUC
rnacentral:rRNA from 1 species